UACGUAGGGUGCGAGCGUUGUCCGGAAUUAUUGGGCGUAAAGAGCUCGUAGGCGGCCUGUUGCGUCCGCUGUGAAAUCCCAGGGCUCAACCCUGGGCGUGCAGUGGAUACGGGCAGGCUGGAGGCAGGCAGGGGAGAACGGAAUUCCCGGUGUAGCGGUGAAAUGCGCAGAUAUCGGGAGGAAGGCCGGUGGCGAAGGCGGCGCUCUGGAACAUUUCUGACGCUGGGAGUCGAAAGCGUGGGGGAGCAAACAGGG
rnacentral:rRNA from 1 species